rnacentral:misc_RNA from 1 species
GAUGAAGAACGCAGCGAAAUGCGAUAAGUAAUGUGAAUUGCAGAAUUCAGUGAAUCAUCGAAUCUUUGAACGCACAUUGCGCCCGCCAGUAUUCUGGCGAGCAUGCCUGUUCGAGCGUCAUUUCAACCAUCAAGCCCCAGGCUUGUGUUGGAGCCCUGCGGCUGCCGGCCUCCCAAAACCAGUGGCGGGCUCGCUAUCACACCGAGUGCAGUAGUUUACUCUUCGCUCAGGGCGUGUGGCGGGUGCUAGCCGUGAAACCCCCAACUUCUCAAGGUUGACCUCGGAUCAGGUAGGAAUACCCGCUGAACUUAAGCAUAUCAAUAACGGAGGA